UACAGAGGGGGCAAGCGUUGUUCGGAAUUACUGGGCGUAAAGGGCGCGUAGGCGGCCUUCUAAGUCGAACGUAAAAUCCCUGGGCUCAACCCAGGAACUGCGUCCGAUACUGGAAGGCUUGAAUCCGGGAGAGGGAUGCGGAAUUCCAGGUGUAGCGGUGAAAUGCGUAGAUAUCUGGAGGAACACCGGUGGCGAAGGCGGCAUCCUGGACCGGUAUUGACGCUGAGGCGCGAAAAGCCAGGGGAGCAAACGGGG
rnacentral:rRNA from 1 species